rnacentral:rRNA from 1 species
UUUACCUACGGGACGCAGCAGUGAGGAAUAUUGGUCAAUGGGCUUACGCCUGAACCAGCCAAGUCGCGUGAGGGAAGACUGCCCUAUGGGUUGUAAACCUCUUUUGUCAGGGAGCAACGCCGGCUACGUGUAGCCGGACUGAGAGUACCUGAAGAAAAAGCAUCGGCUAACUCCGUGCCAGCAGCCGCGGUAAUACGUAGGUGGCAAGCGUUGUCCGGAUUUAUUGGGCGUAAAGCGAGUGCAGGCGGUUC